UACAGAGGUCUCAAGCGUUGUUCGGAUUCAUUGGGCGUAAAGGGUGCGUAGGCGGUCGCGCAAGUCGGAUGUGAAAUCUUAGGGCUCAACCCUGAAACUGCAUUCGAUACUGCGUGGCUCGAGUACUGGAGAGGAGACUGGAAUUUACGGUGUAGCAGUGAAAUGCGUAGAUAUCGUAAGGAAGACCAGUGGCGAAGGCGAGUCUCUGGACAGUUACUGACGCUGAGGCACGAAGGCCAGGGGAGCAAACGGG
rnacentral:rRNA from 1 species